rnacentral:rRNA from 1 species
GACGAACGCUGGCGGCGUGCUUAACACAUGCAAGUCGAACGGAAAGGCGCUGCUCUUGUGGGGUGCUCGAGUGGCGAACGGGUGAGUAACACGUGAGUAACCUGCCCUUGACUUUGGGAUAACUUCAGGAAACUGGGGCUAAUAUCGGAUAGGAGCUCCUGCUGCAUGGUGGGGGUUGGAAAGUUUCGGCGGUUGGGGAUGGUCUCGCGGCUUAUGCGCUAGUUGGUGGGGUAGUGGCUUACCAAGGCUUUGGCGGGUAGCCGGCCUGAGAGGGUGACCGGCCACAUUGGGACUGAGAUACGGCCCAGAAUCCUACGGGAGGCAGCAGUGGGAAAUAUUGCGCAAUGGGCGGAAGCCUGAUGCAGCAGCGCCGCGUGCGUGAUGACGGCCUUCGGGUUGUAAACCGCUUUCGCCUGUGACGAAGCGUGAGUGACGGUAAUGGGUAAAGAAGCACCGGCUAACUACGUG